AUGGACUCUAAGACCUCGGUGCAAAUGGGUGAUGAGUUGCCACCCAUGGAUGAAGAUGCAAUGACUACCAAGACUAGACCUAGAAAGGGCAAAGGGCUAGAGAGGAUCACCAAGUCGCUUGGUAGCAAGGUGCCUAUCCAAAUUGCCGAAGGGAUGAAGCGUCCAGAGAAGCCUCUGCAGUCAGCAAAGCUUGCUUCUGAGUGUGGACUUGUUGCAAGAAACCAUCUUCCGGUUCUUCCUCACUUCAAGCUAUACAAAAAAAAGCUACUCUAUUGGAGAACUACAUUGGGAAAGUUGUUGCAAAUUUUGAGAUGA
rnacentral:rRNA from 1 species